rnacentral:rRNA from 1 species
UAUUGGACAAUGGGCGAAAGCCUGAUCCAGCAAUACCGCGUGUGUGAAGAAGGCCUUAGGGUUGUAAGGCACUUUCAAUUGGGAGGAAAACCUACCGGUCAAUACCCGGUAGCUUGACAUUACCUUUAGAAGAAGCACCGGCUAACUCCGUGCCAGCAGCCGCGGUAAUACGGAGGGUGCGAGCGUUAAUCGGAAUUACUGGGCGUAAAGCGUGCGUAGGCGGUUCGUUAAGUCAGAUGUGAAAGCCCUGGGCUCAACCUGGGAACGGCAUUUGAAACUGGCGGACUAGAGUUUAGUAGAGGGGAGUGGAAUUUCAGGUGUAGCGGUGAAAUGCGUAGAUAUCUGAAGGAACACCAGUGGCGAAGGCGACUCCCUGGACUAGAACUGACGCUGAGACGAAA